UUUUUUCCCAGUUUCACACACCUCAUUCUCAUCACUUCCCUCUCUCUCAUCUUUCUCCUUGCUCCCUCUCUGCAAAGUUUGUUAUGAGUUUGUAGCAAACUCUAACCGCCAAUUCUAUCUUCACUCUCAUCUCAACCUCCAUCUCAACCAUCAUCGUCCAUCUCUCAUCUCUCUAACGACCACAACAACCUUCAUCACCACCAUAACCAAACCUCCAUCCAUUCCCAACCUUCAUCAAUCAUCACCCUCAUCUACCUCCAAUCACCAUCUACAAGUUCUCCUUGUAUCAAGAGCCUGAUUCUUCUCUCUCUUUCGACAUCACGAUCAUCAUCAUCAUCAUCAUCACCUAGCAGCUACCACCACCGCUUCCUCAACCUCUAUCAUUGAAUCACGAUCUCAAGUAUCGAUUUUCAUCAUUGGUUUCGUGUGAAUUAGAAGUCCAGAGUUCAUAACUGACUUGAAGGCAUUUCUCAGCUACGCUUGGAGACCUUUGGAACUGGUUAUCAUCUCAUUCAGGCCUCAAAGAUCGCACAAGAACUGAGUUUAUUUUCUCAGUGGAGUAGAACAAUUACGAAGCUAAUUUACGUCACCUUCAAGGGAUCUGAAGUGUAGAGUUCUUUUCUGGAAUUUCGUUCAAGAUCAUACAGUUGAAGCCUGUUGUGUGACAAUGACUUCAUCAUAUGAGGAUAUUCGCCUCAAAACAAUUGCAGAGAAUAAGAAAAAGCUAGAGGCUCUCAAUCUUACUAAACUCUCUCAAUCCCUUUACAAAUCAUCUUCGUCUUCUUCCAAACCAUCAUCGUCUGUGAAGGGUCGUCCGAGGUUUGUACAACCUAGAGAGCUUGAAGUAAAUAAGAAGCGCCUACGUUCAACGACAACUAGAAACUCAUCAAUAACCCCUACGCCAGUCCAAACUACAAAAACCCCUCCGCCAAUCCAAACUACAAUAACGCCUCCGCCAAUCCAAACUGCAGAAGAUGUUGUGGUUGAAGAUGAGGAUGGAGAUGUUGUUGUAGGAGAUAAUACUGAAAAUAUUGUGGUAGGAGAUGAGGGUGAAGAUGGGGUGGCAGGAGAUGAGGAUUAAGAUGUUGUGGUAGGAGAUGAGACUGAAGAUGUUGUUCAAGUGGCUAGUUCUGAGUAUUGGGAUGUAAAUGUUAUUAAUGAGGAUGGUUAUGUUUCAAAGACCCGUUUAUGUGUGAAAGACUUGGUUGCGAACUCAGAGUCUAGUGGAACAUGGAUAAUACUUGAAUGGGAUAAGAGUCAUCGUGCAGUAGGACCAGCUGCUCGUUUGUUAGCAGGGUAUUUGGAUACACUUGUCAGAAUGUUUAAAGACUUUCCCAUAAUGUUCGAGAGUUGGAAGGCUAUUCCAAUGGAUAAAAAAACAAAGUUUUAUGAUGCAGAG